UACGUAGGGGGCAAGCGUUGUCCGGAAUUAUUGGGCGUAAAGAGCGUGUAGGCGGUCCGGUAAGUCAGCCGUGAAAGUCCAGGGCUCAACCCUGGAAUGCCGGUGGAAACUGUCGGGCUGGAGUCCGGAAGAGGCGAGUGGAAUUCCUGGUGUAGCGGUGAAAUGCGCAGAUAUCAGGAGGAACACCAAUGGCGAAGGCAGCUCGCUGGGACGGUACUGACGCUGAGACGCGAAAGCGUGGGGAGCAAACAGG
rnacentral:rRNA from 1 species